GAUAGAAAAGAUAAUGAAGGGGAGAGACUGGGAAAAGUAGAAGUUGGGCUGUAUUUAGACAAAUACACAGAAAGGUCACAGUAUUUUAUAGGAGCAGAACUCCCAUUGAUAAAAGACAAUAGGCA